AUACGGAGGGUGCGAGCGUUGUUCGGAAUUAUUGGGCGUAAAGAGCAUGUAGGCGGUCUGUUAAGUCUGGUGUGAAAGCCCGGGGCUCAACCCCGGAAGUGCAUUGGAUACUGGCAGACUUGAGUUUGGGAGAGGAAAGCGGAAUUCCGAGUGUAGGAGUGAAAUCCGUAGAUAUUCGGAGGAACACCAGUGGCGAAGGCGGCUUUCUGGACCAAUACUGACGCUGAGAUGCGAAAGCGUGGGGAGCGAACAGGAUUAGAUACCCCGGUAGUCC
rnacentral:rRNA from 1 species